rnacentral:rRNA from 1 species
AUUGAACGCUGGCGGCAGGCCUAACACAUGCAAGUCGAACGAGUGGCGGACGGGUGAGUAAUAUCUGGGAAAGUGCCUGGUGGCGGGGGAUAACUACUGGAAACGGUGGCUAAUACCGCAUACCAUCAGAGUUGCCCAGAUGGGAUUAGCUAGUUGGUGGGGUAAAGGCUCACCAAGGCGACGAUCCGUAGCCGGUCUGAGAGGGCGACCGGCCACACUGGGACUGAGACACGGCCCAGACUCCUACGGGAGGCAGCAGUGGGGAAUUUUGGGCAAUGGGGGAAACCCUGAUCGAGCCAGGCCGCGUGUGUGAAGAAGGCCUUCGGAUUGUAAAGCACUUUUGGCAGAGAAGCGGUAUCUACCGAGAAAGCACCGGCUAACUACGUGCCAGCAGCCGCGGUAAUUC